GGCAUCUCGGCAGGCCACUUCCAUGCUCCUCGGCUAACCCACAGUGCAUACUCCAAUAAACUCAACCCAUCAUUUGGGUAUCGUUAGCGUAUCGUGUCGUGUCGUGUCGGAAUCCUAACGGGCUAUCAUAUUGUGUUUAUUCGCAAAGCCGGUUGCUGAGUACCAGUUAUGCAAUCAUCAAGCCGAUAAUCAUGCAGCCAUUGUACCUGAGAAUGAAGAACAUAGAAGUCCAACCAAUAAAUACAGCCGGUGUAAAACUCGGGAUAUCAUCGCAGUGGCAAGAUCCUUGAGAAGAUAAGGUGAAGAAUUGCUUGACAAACAUCGGCUGCUAUCAAAAAUAAAUAUUGGAUUGCCUGCA